CUCUCUAGCUUAGCCGUGUUCUUCUCCAUCCUCUAGGGCAACCACGAAGUGCAAGCAAGGCCAAGGAAGAAGAAGACAAGCCGUGAACACCAUCCAUCCUCCACCUUGAAGAUUGCUUUCGAAAUUCAAGAGAUCACAUCAUCACUUCAUUCAUCUCAUCUUCAUCACGGUGUGUACCCUCAAUCCCCGGAAUAGAACGAUCCCUACUUACUUUAUACUACUAAUGACAUUUCAGGGGUUAAAUUAUGCGCUUCCCAAAAGCGACAUCAAUUUUUGGCGCCGUUGCCGGGGAUUGAAAAAUCAUUUGCCAUAUUGUGAAUAUUUGUUUUGUAUAUUGUGA
rnacentral:lncRNA from 1 species